GCAGACUCAGGCUUGAGAGAGGCCCAAGCUUUCCUCGGGGUGCUUUUCACCAAGGAGCCCUACCUGGAUGAGCAGAGAGCUGUGAAAUAUCUUUGGCUUGCAGCCAACAAUGGGGACUCACAGAGCAGGUACCACCUUGGAAUUUGCUAUGAGAAAGGCCUUGGUGUGCAGAGGAAUCUGGGAGAGGCCUUGAGAUGUUACCAGCAGUCAGCCGCUCUGGGAAAUGAGGCCGCCCAGGAGAGGCUGCGAGCCCUCUUUUCCAUGGGGGCUGCAGCCCCGGGGCCCAGCGACCUGACAGUUACAGGACUGAAGUCUUUCUCCAGCCCCUCCCUCUGCAGCUUGAACACCCUGCUAGCAGGAACCUCACGCCUACCACAUGCCUCGAGCACAGGCAACCUUGGCCUCCUCUGCAGAAGUGGGCAUCUCGGAGCCAGCCUGGAAGCCUCCAGCAGGGCUAUUCCCCCACACCCCUACCCACUGGAAAGGAGUGUUGUAAGACUAGGUUUUGGCUAAGGUGAGAUAAAACAUAGUCCCUGGUGCCUCUUAGGGGCCAGAGCGGGCAGGAGGUUGGAUAACAAAAAUAGAGCAUCAGCAACCCUUUCCAGGUAGAAAUUCCAGCGGGAGUUCAGGUUCCCAAGCAAUUUCACGUACAUGGCUGGUAAGUGACUGAUCUUUCCCCCCGCUUGGUAGCCUCACAGAUGAGUCUUGGAUGCAUUCACAGUCAUUUCUGGUCUGUGCACCAAAGGAUGCAUUCAGUGACCUAUGAAAAACCCUACUGAAGGGUCCAGAGACCCUGGUGCUCACCUUAGCCUUUGUCUUUGAGCAAAUAACUUACCUUCUUCCUUCUUAUGCCUGGGUUUUCUCACACUUAAAUCUGUACUACUGUUUGCCAAUGUCUGAUGUGUGUAUCCCUGGUUCACAAGAAGAUUUUAGAUGGUAUUCAAAUUAAUAUUUUCUAUUUAGUUAUAUAUUUAAUGUAUAAUAUAAAAAUAUGAUUAGCAUAUUGACCUGUAGUUUGAUAGAUGUUCUGUCUAGGAUAAAGCUAACUGUAAAAAAAAAUAGUGAAUCAGUUUAAAGAAAAACAUAACGUAAAAGUGGGCACAGAUCCAGAGAGGUAGCAAAAAUCACAGGGGUGGUUCCAUGAAUGGCUGACACUUAGGAAACUCUGAAUUAGGCCAUCCUCGAGACUAGCCCACCAUUCACCUCUGUUCAUCCCCCGUGGGCUCAUAAUCGUUUUCAUUUCACCUUUGAUUUGGAAGGAAGAAGUUUCUUGCCCAAAUGCCUGGAUGUGUCUGCUUGACUUUCAGAACUUCUCACCUCAGCCCUAAAGAGGGAGCCUGUGGGUUCUCAGAGAGAUAUCACAAUUUGAGUCCCAAAGAAGAGGCCAGAUACCCACCCACCUUCCCCCAAAUCUUAAGCACCUGCGCCAGUACAGUCAAGAAGAGGAAAGUGUGUGAAGACCCAGGUCUGGCUCUGCCACUUGCCUGGCCAUGUCACCUUGAAGCUGUGACCUGACUCCCUAUAUUGUUUCCUCAGUUGUAGACCAAAGGCAAUGGUGUCUGCCCUCCUACCUUAGAAGACAAAUGCAAGGGCAUUUCACCACAGAGAGGACCUUUGUGCUCACUUUGGCCCAGGAGGCAGUGAUGCUCAUGGUUGCAUGACUUUAUGAGUCGCUGGGCCAGGGUGAGGACCUGGGCCUCCUGACUCCUGGCCCAGAGUUCUUGUCCAUCAGUUCAUACUGCAAUUUUAUGUGAAAGCAUUAUGACUGUCCUACCCAUGGGAGAGUAAAUGUAGAUUGAAUGCUAGGAGUCUUAAAGCUGGAGAGUAUAGAUUUUGAGGUCCCCAUUUGGGAAACAUGUGCCAGAAAUGUCUAGGUGUUUAAUAAAACAGAUAUUGGAUUAUCUC
rnacentral:lncRNA from 1 species